rnacentral:lncRNA from 1 species
AUGUUAGUGUUUACCGACUGCGCCAUCAUGAUGCCCACUGGAACACAGGAGUCUCGCACUGCAGGAAGAACACGUGUCCAUAGUCACUCACAGUGUGGGACUGUGUCCAGUAAAAAGAAAGAUCAAGUGGAGGAGCCAUUUCCAAUCAAGCCUGUGCCUCACAGAAGACAAACUCAAACACAAGUUUUAUUUGGUUUGCACGAAUUUGAGAAAAUCACACCUUCAACACAGCAAAGAGGUCAUGUGAUGCAUCAAGAGUACCAUUCAGCUGGCAUUAGAGAAACCAGACCCCUGCCUUCUGAACUGCCCAGCGAGGAGCAGCUGAUGAACAAAGCAAUCCAGGAAAAUGAGCUACUUCUGCUGGAGAAGCUCUGGAAGGUAGGAGAAAAAGUAAAAGCAAUCCAAAUCAGUAGCUCUGAUACUACUGCAGGUCACGAUCACAAGAGAGGAGAUGGAAAGCAUGAUGUUGGACCGGCUGACUGGGGAGAAGGUCAUAGGAAACCCAUGGUGUCUGAGCAUCAAAGGAGAGAGCUACUCUACAGCAGAGACGUGUUGUUAGAUGAAAGCUUUUAUGAUUUAAAGCAGAGGAAAACACAAGAUCAGAUGACUGAAGAUGGAUUUGGGAAUAAAUAUCAAGUACAGCAGUUCAGAUGGGAUGUCAGCAAACACGAAACAGGAGUACCAAGAAAAGGAACAUUACAGAACGAGCCCUUUAGAAGAGACGGAAAGAUUUAUGAUUGGGAAGAAAUGGAUGAAAGAUACAGAAAGCUAAAUGAGGCAUCUCAAAGAAAUACAAACUGGACAAGAGAAAAGGAAUACAAAGAAAGCAUGCACAGUGAUAAAGGUGAUAAACAAAAUACGCCUGAGAAAAUUGUACAGAAACCUAAACAGGCCCUAGCAAACCAGAGAAGCACAAUUCUCCCGCGCCUUCCUUUGCAUAGCAGCCUGCAGCAGCAGGCCGAGCCCGAACUCAUUGAUGCUGCAGCAGGCAGCUUCCAGCAUCUUCCCUGCAACAUCUGCAACCGCAUGUUUCGAAGUGAAAGACUAGAGAAUCACGUUCAGAUCUGUGCGAAGUUGAAUCUAAAGCACCGUCCAGUCUUCAACUCAUCUACCCAGAGGUCCAAAGGAUCACAGCUGGAGGAAUACCUAAAAACUCACGUUAGAAACAAAACUCCAGAGGUAAGGCUUCUAAAUCACAUUGUUGGAUUAUUGAUGGCUUCUAACGUUGUGUUAAAAUAA